AUGGCGCGGCUCAAAUAAUGUUCACACAUUACACAACAAACCUCCUCAGAUUAAUUUCGAAGCCAUCCCCUCUUUGGCACAAACGAUUUAGUAACAUGUCUUACGACUUUUGGGCGUAUUAAAUAAAAGAGCAACGAAAAAUCCCAACUGCCUGUGACGGGAUUCGAACCCGUGUAGUUCGGGUGCUAUAAAGUCCAAUGCUCUAAUCACUGAACCGAAGAGUCGACUCUCUCUCUGACGAAGUUGUCAGAUAUUUGCUUUAAACGUGUAGGCUAUACGUACGCUACCCUAACACAUGGAUUGAUGAAGGCAUAUAUAACCUGUCUUCAGUCUACAAGAGCUUCCAGAGUUAAAAAUGUCCUGAAACAUGCUUUUUUCAUUGAUCUCCAUACUGUAACUGAAGUGUAAAUGUUGUGUUGAAAACAUUAAAUUUAACGACCACUUAUUAAUAUGUUGGCAUUCUGUCUGCUGAUAAUGUUGGAAAAUUACAUAGUAUUAACUCUUAUCCCUUGCAUACCUGUAAACAAAUCGCCUUUUCUUUCAUAAGCACAGGGUCAAUUUUGGGUUAUGUUUGGUACUUUUUUUCUAAAUCAUUUAGCAGUCAUUGACCUGUUUUACACAAAUCAACUGACAGUUUCUGUAAUCAGAACGCACAUACACUUUACUUUGUCACUUUAUGAUUUAAACAUUAAAAAUACUGUUUUAUGUCAAUUAUAAAUUAUUUGGUGCAAGUGUAUUCCUAAAUACUCACCACUUUUGACCCUAAUAGAAGACUUAAAAAACCUAUUUAUAGAUGGAUUAUUGGGCUUCCCCUGCUAUUACCGAAAUGUAUAAUUAGAUAUUGGUUUUCCACAGUUAGAUACUGAGCAUGCGUACAUUUUGAUCAAUAGUGAAGUUGACGGCAUACAAACUAAAAGAUGAGUGGGCAAGGAGGUUCAGACGGUGGCAGCGGGCACGAGCCAGGCUGUGGUCGAGGUGGUGGUUGGAGUGCCAAAUGUGCAAAAUCUGUUUUUCAAAGGAACGAAUUUGGAUGUCAGUAUAAGUGUACGAAUGUCGAUGGUGAUUGCUGCAUUUCGACUAACAAUAUUCUUCGCACCAGUAUUGUAGUGCGCCAAGAAAACUCUGGAUAAAAUGACAUUACGUAAACCGUUUAUGCAUAGCAAAAUGACGUGCAACUAGCAAAGUACGACCUCUCACUCCAAGGUGAAAAAUGUUUCAAGAAGAUCACUUGGAAGCAUAGAAAGUAAACAAACAAACUAAUAGCUCACUCGGUUUGAUUGAGUCUCUUCACAAGGGGAUAAUUUCUUUCCGCCCCCUAGCACCAGCUGAUGCGGAACUCAUUAUACAUGCCCUGAAUGCAUACCAUGAAAUAAAAUGACCAGAAAAAUAAUACUGAAUCCAGACUUACACAUGUCUGUAUUUUAGAUUUUAGAUCCCUGUAUGUAAGGAAAAAUAUUAAAAUGACCUGCCACAAACAUUUAUAUACUGUGUCAUCGAAAACUGAAAUGCAUAGAUCCAGUGGCUUCUUUGUAGACGGCAUAAAGAAAUCUUUGAAAUUUGUCUUUUUAUCAACCUUGUGUAUAAUUUGAUAUUUAAUUACUUUACUCAGAUAAAAAUUACAGUAAGGUGGCACUUCACCUACUGUAUUUGUAAAAAAUAUGUCUGCUUAGAGCAGUUUUCCUUGAAUAUUUGUAUAUAUAUGUAUGGUCGCCGCAUUAUCACAUGUCAUCUUAUAUGUUUAAAAUUGCAAUUUAAUUACCUGUACCCAUAUACUAUUAAGUAUGAAUGUGAAAAUAUACAUUUUAUAUAUUGAUAAACGUUUGGAGAGAAAUCUAUUUUAUGCUGAACUUAACAUUAUCACAUGUCAUCUUCUGUGAUAAAAAUUGCAAUUAAAUUAUCUGUAUUUUAAUUUUAUGUAUUGCUAGACAUGAUAAAAUGAGACAUUUGCCACGAGCAACAGACUUGACAGAGAUUUUGCAUCUGUAAAAUAUUUGUCAAUUAAGAUAUA
rnacentral:lncRNA from 1 species